UUUUUAUUUCCUGGAGAAAUAAGACACAGUUGUGUUUGAAACCCACACUGACGAGCCCCUGGUCACAUCCCCCACCCUCCACUAGGUCCACCAACCACACAGUGUAGACUGUACACUGCACAACCCUAGGGCCACUGUUAAUACUGUAGGCUUUGUGAAAAUCUCUGUCGUGUCUGUGAAGGCACACUCUGGAGCUGGUGCAGUGUAAAACAUAUAGUGGUCUUCAGAGAAGAUUCAAACAAGAGGCAAGAGGAAGUGCAGAGAUGCGAAGUGUGACCCAAGUCAGCCAGCAGCUAUGGCUGUGGGCUGCUCAGUUUAGGACACAUCCCAUAAGCCUGAGAAAAUGAGCUUUCCUCUUAGUAUUCCCAGAGGCCCAAGCCACUCAGCA